AGGGAAUCUUCGGCAAUGGACGAAAGUCUGACCGAGCAACGCCGCGUGAGCGAAGAAGGCCUUCGGGUCGUAAAGCUCUGUUGUUAGAGAAGAACAUGGGUGAGAGUAACUGUUCACCCCUUGACGGUAUCUAACCAGAAAGCCACGGCUAACUACGUGCCAGCAGCCGCGGUAAUACGUAGGUGGCAAGCGUUGUCCGGAAUUAUUGGGCGUAAAGCGCGCGCAGGCGGUCUCUUAAGUCUGAUGUGAAAGCCCCCGGCUCAACCGGGGAGGGUCAUUGGAAACUGGGAGACUUGAGGACAGAAGAGGAGAGUGGAAUUCCAAGUGUAGCGGUGAAAUGCGUAGAUAUUUGGAGGAACACCAGUGGCGAAGGCGGCUCUCUGGUCUGUUACUGACGCUGAGGCGCGAAAGCGUGGGGAGCAAACA
rnacentral:rRNA from 1 species